AAGUUCCUACGGGGGGCAGCAGUGGGGGAUAUUGCACAAUGGGGGGAACCCUGACGCAGCGACGCCGCGUAGGUGAAGAAGCGCCUCGGCGCGUAAAGCCCUGUCAGCAGGGAAGAAAAUGACGGUACCUGAAGAAGAACACCCGGCUAACUACGUGCCAGCAGCCGCGGGAAUACGUAGGGGGCAAGCGUUAUCCGGAUUUACUGGGUGUAAAGGGGGCGCAGACGGCGAUGCAAGCCAGGAGUGAAAGCCCGGGGCCAAACCCCGGGA
rnacentral:rRNA from 1 species